GCCACGGCCGGCCGCUCUGCGGGAGCAGACAGGCCUCGGAGGCCGGGGGGCGGCCGCGGGGCCCACGUCCCGAGCCUGUGAGCGGUCGGGCCCCGUCGGCCCCCCGCUCGGGCUGGACAGCAGGUGCCACGGGUCGGGCUGCGGAGCCUGCUGUGCGGAGCCGCCGCGGGCUCGCUGACUGGCAGGAGUCGGCCUGUCUCCACCCCCACCCCCACCCCCAAACCCCACCGCUGGGCUCCCUGAGCCUUGGGUCCUUCCACUGUGCAGCACGAUGGUUGUGAGGAUUCCAGGUGAGAUAAUGCAGGUAAAGAUGCCCGCCCGACGUUUAGCAUGGAGUGUCAGCGCUCCGGAAUAGGAAUAAAAAGGGACACACUCUUCAUACACGGAGCAACAUGGAUGGACCUGCAAAACCUUGUGCAGUGGGGGAAAAGGAUGAUUCAUCUCAUGAGAAUUUGAAUGCUGGUGGAAAAUUGUACAGAAAAUCCAGUGCUUGGUGCCUAAAAGAUGCUCAACAAAUGUUUAACAAAUGAAUGGACAUACUAAAGAGUAAGCAGAGAAAGAAAAUUGAGGAGAUGAUACAAAGACAAGAAAAAUCGGAAAAGUAAAGGAAUCAACAAAUCCAAGAGAAGAUUUUGAGAAGCAACCAAUGAAAACUUUAAAAAGUCGCUGGAUUUGACAGUGGAUGUUCAUGUGUUGAGAUGAACGAGUCAAUGGAGAUAAAGAAAUAAAUUAUGCAAGACAACAAUGACUGGCCAGACAAGAAAGGUCCUGGAGAGAGGGCGGGUUUGCAUUAUGGGAAUCCCUGCUCCCUUCUGUAGUCAUUGCUAUGCUCUCUGACAGAAACACCCUUUCUUUCCCCCUCCAUUCUCUCUCUUUCUUCAAAGACCAGCUGUAUUCCCUUGUACUUCCUGCAUUGAAGUCCUCUCUGAAUACUUCAGACUACAUUCAUUUAUUCCUUCUUAAAAAAAAAAAAAAAGUCUACCAUGAAAUCCAGCACACUGAAGCAUUUUCUAAUUGUUUUGUCUGGUCUCCCAGGUAGGUUAUAAAGUCCCUUGAAGAAGAACUUUGUCUCAUUCUUUUUUGUCUAUCUUCCAGUGUUUAACAGAGUACUGGGUACAUGUAGGCAUUUAACAAAUACUUAAAAUUACAAAAGGAUCUUGCUGACAGAAUGAUAAUACACAUCAGCUGGACAA